UACAGAGGGGGCAAGCGUUGUUCGGAAUUACUGGGCGUAAAGCGUGCGUAGACGGUUAUUUAAGUCGGGUGUGAAAGCCCCGGGCUCAACCUGGGAAUUGCAUUCGAGACUGCCUUGCUCGAGUACUGGAGAGGAGACUGGAAUUUACGGUGUAGCAGUGAAAUGCGUAGAUAUCGUAAGGAAGACCAGUGGCGAAGGCGAGUCUCUGGACAGUUACUGACACUGAGGCACGAAGGCCAGGGGAGCAAACGGG
rnacentral:rRNA from 1 species